rnacentral:rRNA from 1 species
UACGUAGGGGGCAAGCGUUGUCCGGAUUCAUUGGGCGUAAAGAGCGUGUAGGCGGCCAGGUAGGUCGGUUGUGAAAACUGGAGGCUCAACCUUCAGAGGUCGACCGAAACCAUCUGGCUAGAGUCCGGGAGAGGAGAGUGGAAUUCCUGGUGUAGCGGUGAAAUGCGCAGAUAUCAGGAAGAACACCGAUGGCGAAGGCAGGUCUCUGGGCCACUACUGACGCUGAGAAGCGAAAGCAUGGGGAGCGAACAGG